CCGGAGGCUCGCACAUGCAAGUCGAGCGGUAGCGCGGGGCAACCCUGGCGGCGAGCGGCGGACGGGUGAAUGCGUCGGAAUCUGCCUCUUUGUGGGGGAUAACGUAGGAAACUUACGCUAAUACCGCAUACGACCUACGGGUGAAAGUGGGGGACCGCAAGGCCUCACGCAGAGAGAUGAGCCGACGCCGGAUUAGCUAGUUGGCGGGGUAAAGGCCCACCAACGCGACGAUCCGUAGCUGGUCUGAGAGGAUGAUCAGCCACACUGGAACUGAGACACGGUCCAGACUCCUACGGGAGGCAGCAGUGGGGAAUAUUGGACAAUGGGCGCAAGCCUGAUCCAGCCAUGCCGCGUGUGUGAAGAAGGCCUUCGGGUUGUAAAGCACUUUCGUCCGGAAAGAAAAGCAUUCGGUUAAUAACCGGGUGUCAUGACGGUACCGGAAGAAUAAGCAC
rnacentral:rRNA from 1 species